UACAGAGGGUGCAAGCGUUGUUCGGAAUUAUUGGGCGUAAAGCGCGUGUAGGCGGUGAUGCAUGUCGGGUGUGAAAGCCCCCAGCUUAACUGGGGGAAGUGCGCCCGAAACUGCAUCGCUAGAGUGUCGGAGAGGGUGGCGGAAUUCCCGGUGUAGAGGUGAAAUUCGUAGAUAUCGGGAGGAACACCAGUGGCGAAGGGCG
rnacentral:rRNA from 1 species